UUUGCAGUGGUUCCGCAAGAGUGGCUCAGCGAGAGCAUGUGCCAUUGGCCCCCAUUUAACCUCAGCAAAAAGACGAAGGCAACAAUUUAGCCAUCCUCUGCACACCUCCACACAGCACCUGGGAGAAACAUCAUUUUAAGUUCAUGAAGGGAGCAGAAUCUUGGAAGUCUCAAGAAAAAAAACUCUAGAAAGAUGCAUCGAUUCCAGAAAACCAGGAAAAUGUUUCUCCCCAGUAAUCCAGACUCCACUUCACAGAGCCAAGAGUUUGAGUACAAGUAAGUGAUGUUAUUUGUGAAGUUUUUUUGUCUUGGAAACUAUUGCUUCUAUUUGA